rnacentral:rRNA from 1 species
GAUGAACGCUGGCGGCGUGCCUAAUACAUGCGAGUCGAGCGAACAGACGAGGAGCUUGCUCCUCUGACGUUAGCGGCGGACGGGUGAGUAACACGUGGAUAACCUACCUAUAAGACUGGGAUAACUUCGGGAAACCGGAGCUAAUACCGGAUAAUAUAUUGAACCGCAUGGUUCAAUAGUGAAAGACGGUUUUGCUGUCACUUAUAGAUGGAUCCGCGCCGCAUUAGCUAGUUGGUAAGGUAACGGCUUACCAAGGCAACGAUGCGUAGCCGACCUGAGAGGGUGACCGGCCACACUGGAACUGAGACACGGUCCAGACUCCUACGGGAGGCAGCAGUAGGGAAUCUUCCGCAAUGGGCGAAAGCCUGACGGAGCAACGCCGCGUGAGUGAUGAAGGUCUUCGGAUCGUAAAACUCUGUUAUUAGGGAAGAACAAAUAUGUAAGUAAUUAUGCACGUCUUGACGGUACCUAAUCAGAAAGCCACGGCUAACUACGUG